rfam:Dipodomys ordii contig_897, whole genome shotgun sequence.
GGUGGCUCAGUGGUAGAGCGUUUGCCUCCCAUGCAUGAGGCUCUAGGUUCGAUUCCUCAGCACCA